AUGGCUAGUCGCACGAGCUCAGACUCGUGGCAUAUAGCUCAGUAACACGUGGCCAAACUACCCUACAGACCGCAAUAACCUCGGGAAACUGAGGCCAAUAGCGGAUACAACUCUCAUGCUGGAGUGCCGAGAGUUGGAAACGUUCCGGCGCUGUAGGAUGUGGCUGCGGCCGAUUAGGUAGAUGGUGGGGUAACGGCCCACCAUGCCGAUAAUCGGUACAGGUUGUGAGAGCAAGAGCCUGGAGACGGUAUCUGAGACAAGAUACCGGGCCCUACGGGGCGCAGCAGGCGCGAAACCUUUACACUGCACGACAGUGCGAUAGGGGGACUCCGAGUGUGAGGGCAUAUAGCCCUCGCUUUUCUGCACCGUAAGGUGGUGCAAGAAUAAGGACUGGGCAAGACCGGUGCCAGCCGCCGCGGUAAUACCGGCAGUCCAAGUGAUGGCCGAUAUUAUUGGGCCUAAAGCGUCCGUAGCUUGCUGUGUAAGUCCAUUGGGAAAUCGACCAGCUCAACUGGUCGACGUCCGGUGGAAACUACACAGCUUGGGGCCGAGAGACUCAACGGGUACGUCCGGGGUAGGAGUGAAAUCCUAUAAUCCUGGACGGACCACCAAUGGGGAAACCACGUUGAGAGA
rnacentral:rRNA from 1 species